rnacentral:tRNA from 1 species
GGGACUGUAGCUCAGUGGCAGAGCACUUGCCUAGCAUGUAUGAGGCACUGGGUUCAAUCCCA